ACAGGAUGAAGAAACCAAAGUGCAGAGAAGUUUCAAAAUUUGCCUAAGGACAUAGCUAAUGAAUAGCAGGGCUAGGAUUAUGAACCGAGAUAUUCUGGGUCCACAGUCCCUGCCUGUAACCACUAUUCAACUCUGCCUUUACUAGGAACAUGGCAAGUUACUCAUAGAAUCCUAAAACUGUUACAGCUCCUUGAACAUCAUCUAAACUAAUUUUACAAAUAAAAAGACUGAGGCCAGAGAGAGGAAGUGAUUGGCUGAAAGUAACCCAGCAGGAUGGCUCUCCAACCCCAGAUCCUGACUUCACCCACCUCUGCGUGAGCAUGUUAGGGUCUGGAGCAUCUCUGCUGGAGACUGGUCCUGCCUAGUGCAGGCCCCCUCUUGAAAAUACACAGAAUUCUGGAUGUUGCAUACAUGGGAAAUUGUGAACAUGGAGCUCAGAGCUCAGCUUGCAAGAAAGAAGGGGAUGUCCCAAUGCCAGAUACAGAGAUAGUUGGAAAUAUGAGUGGGAAACUCCCAAGCAGAUGCCAGGAUAGCUGCAGCUUUUGUGAAUCACUAAAAACAGUCUUCGAGUUAUCUGGAAUUUAUUUUAGUGCAAGAUGUACAAUGAAUCAUACUCAUUUUUGAAAACCAAUUGCC
rnacentral:lncRNA from 1 species